UUUCUCCCUUUUCUCUCCUCUUUUUCCUCCCUUCUUUCUAUCGUCCUCUCAUUUCCGUCCUCGAGUCUAUGUGCCCUUGCUACGAGAAUCGGAGGAAGAAGCAGUACCGCGGACUUAAAAUUCAUGAAUCGGCCCGGCCGUGUCCUCGGCACCGACCAACGACGACAGCUGGCGGUCCGACCUCUAGAUCCAGCGGUUCGUCUCAACGAGCACACCGGUAUCAUCGACGUGUGUUGUGUGUGUGCGGUGUCGCUACACACGCGCCGUUUCGACAGUCGACCCAAAGUCAAUAAACACACGUUCGAGAAUUCGAAUUCGCGCGCAGAGAACGGGCGGCCCCUGUUUUGCCUGUGGUUGGCCGGCGAACGAGCCGGAGUCGUCGGCGGCGGCGGCGGAUCGAAAGCAACGCGAUAUAUCUUCUGGAUCGUUCUCUGCGAAAUCGUCGUCGAAUGGUUUCGGGACGAGACCCGUGGUCGCGGGUAACGCGGCCCCGAAGAAUCCGCUCGCGGCACGAGUGAAAUGAAAUCAAAUUCGAUAAGUACACUCGAAGUGAUAAUGCUUAUAAACGGGACGACAUUAGCUCGACUAUCUCUCGAGUACUCGUGCAGCUGUGUUUGCGUAAACGAUUGGACGUCGCGUCGAAUGUCGACCUCGUUAAGAAACCAAUUCACAACGGGUGCUAAACUCUCUCGCCUCGUUGACUUUAGACGACCAAGACCACGACCCACACGAUCCGCGAUCACUGGCACGACCGCGGCCAAGACCGCGGAGAGAACACCCGACCGGGGUCCGGCCGUGUUCGUUAUCGCCGUACCAAACGAUGGGUGUUUCACGCGAGAACGGUAAGUUGCUGCCGCGGAUCGCGGCUCCGCAGGGAACUGUUAAUAAAAUUGCAAACAGUUGAUUAGGCUGGUUCGGUCGGACGGCCUCGGGAUUCGCGCGCCUCGAACUCGUGAUCGCGUCGUGAUUCCGGGCUCCACGAUUUUCUUGGAAACGCGGCCUUGUUUUCCGGCCGGCGAAGGUGCGAUAAUACGGCACGGAUGGCCCGUAGGCAGGCCGUAGCCGAACAAAUGGAAUCGAAGAGACCGGCUUAUCGUGAAAAGAUAGGUAUACUCGCGCUCGUGUUUACCGUAGGUACGCGUCAAUGACAACGGUUUUUGCCGGCUCGGUUCGACUUCGCACGGAUAAGGCACAUUUCGCCGAGCGAGCGAGCCUCGAGACCAGAUACGCUCGCGUCACCCUACUGCCCGCCGAUUGGUCGGGCUCGAAGAAAUAAAUAAAAUUCAGUUUUAGAAAGUA